GCCCAGACUCCUACGGGAGGCAGCAGUGAGGAAUAUUGGUCAAUGGCCGCAGGGCUGAACCAGCCAAGUCGCGUGAGGGAUGACGGUCCUAUGGAUUGUAAACCUCUUUUGUCGGGGAGCAAAGAGAUCACGUGUGGUCAAAAGCGAGAGUACCCGAAGAAAAAGCAUCGGCUAACUACGUGCCAGCAGCCGCGGUAAUACGUAGGGGGCAAGCGUUAUCCGGAUUCACUGGGUGUAAAGGGAGCGUAGACGGCGACGCAAGUCUGGAGGGAAAGCCCGGGGCCCAACCCCGGGACUGCUCUGGAAACUGGGUCGCUGGAGUACGGGAGGGGGAGGCGGAAUUCCUGGUGUAGCGGUGAAAUGCGUAGAUAUCAGGAGGAACACCGGCGGCGAAGGCGGCCUGCUGGACCGUGACUGACGUUGAGGCUCGAGAGCGUGGGGAGCAAACAGGAUUAGAUACCCGGGUAA
rnacentral:rRNA from 1 species